AUUGAACGCUGGCGGCAUGCUUUACACAUGCAAGUCGAACGGUAACAGGCCGCAAGGUGCUGACGAGUGGCGAACGGGUGAGUAAUGUAUCGGAACGUGCCCAGUCGUGGGGGAUAACGCAGCGAAAGCUGCGCUAAUACCGCAUACGAUCUAUGGAUGAAAGCGGGGGACCGUAAGGCCUCGCGCGAUUGGAGCGGCCGAUAUCAGAUUAGGUAGUUGGUGGGGUAAAGGCUCACCAAGCCAACGAUCUGUAGCUGGUCUGAGAGGACGACCAGCCACACUGGGACUGAGACACGGCCCAGACUCCCUACGGGAGGCAGCAGUGGGGAAUUUUGGACAAUGGGCGCAAGCCUGAUCCAGCAAUGCCGCGUGCAGGAAGAAGGCCUUCGGGUUG
rnacentral:rRNA from 1 species